rnacentral:tRNA from 1 species
GCCUCUGUGGCUCAAUCUGGUAGAGCGGCGCUCUCGUAAAGCGCAGGUUGAGGGUUCAAAUCCCUUCGGAGGCU